rnacentral:rRNA from 1 species
UACGUAGGGGGCAAGCGUUGUCCGGAAUCAUUGGGCGUAAAGAGCGCGUAGGCGGCCCGGUAAGUCCGCUGUGAAAGUCAAGGGCUCAACCCUUGAAUGCCGGUAGAUACUGUCGGGCUAGAGUCCGGAAGAGGCGAGUGGAAUUCCUGGUGUAGCGGUGAAAUGCGCAGAUAUCAGGAGGAACACCAAUGGCGAAGGCAGCUCGCUGGGACGGUACUGACGCUGAGGCGCGAAAGCGUGGGGAGCGAACAGG